GCGGUAGGGUGCGAUGGUCGCGGCAUGCCGGCUGGAAAGGCGUGUCGAGGAAAGUCCGAGCUCCCUAGGGCAGACUGCCAGGUAACGCCUGGGCGCCGCAAGGCGACGGAGAGGGCCACAGAAAACAAACCGCCCUGAAGAUCAAGGGUAAGGGUGAAACGGUGGGAGGCCGCGUGAGGUGGCUGGCGACAGCCAUCCCAGAGAGAUGACCAUCUGCCCGCCUCGGCGGGUAAACAGAACUCGGCUUAUGGCCCUACCGCCCGC
rnacentral:RNase_P_RNA from 1 species